rnacentral:rRNA from 1 species
UACGUAGGGUGCGAGCGUUGUCCGGAAUUAUUGGGCGUAAAGAGCUCGUAGGCGGUCUGUCGCGUCUGCUGUGAAAACUCGGGGCUUAACCCCGGGCCUGCAGUGGGUACGGGCAGACUAGAGUGCGGUAGGGGAGACUGGAAUUCCGUGGUGUAGCGGUGAAAUGCGCAGAUAUCAGGAAGAACACCCGUGGCUAAGGCGGCUCUCUAGUACGGUACUGACGCUGAGACGCGAAAGCGUGGGGAGCGAACAGG